rnacentral:rRNA from 1 species
UACGGAGGAGGCAAGCGUUAUCCGGAAUUAUUGGGCGUAAAGCGUCCGUAGGUGGCACUUCAAGUCUGCGGUCAAAGACCGGGGCUUAACCCUGGAAAGGCCGUGGAAACUGAAGUGCUAGAGUGCAGUAGGGGUAGAGGGAAUUCUCGGUGUAGCGGUGAAAUGCGUAGAGCUCGGGAAGAACAUCGGUGGCGAAAGCGCUCUACUGGACUGCAACUGACACUGAGGGACGAAAGCUAGGGGAGCGAAUGGG